UAAAAAACUAGGAUUAGAUACCCUAUUAUUUAAAAUGUAAAUAUAAAUAUUAAAGUAGUAAUAGUUAUGUUCUUGAAACUUAAAAAAUUUGGCGGUAUUUUAGUCUAUCCAGAGGAACCUGUUUUGUAAUCGAUAAUCCACGAUGGACCUUACUUAAAUUUGUAAUCAGUUUAUAUACCGUCGUUAUCAGAAUAUUUUAUAAGAAUAAUAAUAUUCAAUAAUUUUAAUAAAAAUUUAUAUCAGAUCAAGGUGUAGCUUAUAUUUAAGUAAUAAUGGGUUACAAUAAAAUUAUUUAUACGGAUAAAAUUAUGAAAAAGUUUUUGAAGGUGGAUUUGGUAGUAAAAUUAUAAAGAUAAAUAAUUUGAUUUUAGCUCUAAAAUAUGUACACAUCGCCCGUCGCUCUUAUUAUUAAGGU
rnacentral:rRNA from 3 species